rnacentral:rRNA from 1 species
AAAAACUGAGGUGGUAUACGAUGGUUCCGCGUCUGAUUAGCUAGUUGGUGGGGUAAAAGCCUACCAAGGCAACGAUCAGUAGCCGGCCUGAGAGGGUGAACGGCCACAUUGGGACUGAGACACGGCCCAAACUCCUACGGGAGGCAGCAGUGGGGAAUAUUGCACAAUGGGGGAAACCCUGAUGCAGCGACGCCGCGUGAGUGAAGAAGUAUUUCGGUAUGUAAAGCUCUAUCAGCAGGGAAGAAAUACUGACCAUAGGGUCAGCAGACGGUACUUGACUAAGAAGCCCCGGCUAACUACGUGCCAGCAGCCGCGGUAAUACGUAGGGGGCAAGCGUUAUCCGGAUUUACUGGGUGUAAAGGGAGCGUAGACGGCAGCGCAAGUCUGAAGUGAAAUGCCAGGGCUUAACCCUGGAACUGCUUUGGAAACUGUGCAGCUAGAGUGCAGGAGAGGUAAGUGGAAUUUCUAGUGUAGCGGUGAAAUGCGUAGAUAUUAGGAGGAACACCAGUGGCGAAGGCGGCUUACUGGACUGUAACUGACGUUGAGGCUCGAAAGCGUGGGGAGCAAACAGGAUUAGAUACCCUGGUAGUCCACGCUGUAAAC